ACUAAUACCAUAUACAUGACAAAUGAUGUGACAAACAGUAAGAAAGUAAACUUUACCGUUUCACAGUACAAUCAAUAAAGCCACACAGGCGUAAGUGUUUAUGACAAAUCUCUGCGACAGCUCUCCGACGCCUGGUUUUUACGUCAGUGCCUGAAAUCGCUCAAUCAUUUUCGUUCCCUUCUUCCCCAUAUAGUGGACUCAACUGUCAUUUGCUAUAUAGGGAAUAGUGAAUGAGUGAACGAGGGAGCAGUUUUGGACGCAGCUCCAGAGUAUAGGAGGAGUGGGGAACCCUGGUCCAACCCUAAUCAAACACACCUGAAUUUCAUUUACAAGUGAUCCUGAGGACUUUCAUUUGAUUCUUCAGGUGUGCUUAAUUAGGGUUGGAACAAAACUCUGCAGGACAGUGGCCCUCCAGGACCAGGGUUCUCCACCCCUGCUGUAUAGCAAAACAUGGGAUUUCCAAAUCUAAAUCAUUUUGAUUCAGAUUUAACUUUUUAAACAACAGCCCCCUACAGAUUUUAGCUCCAACCCUAAUCAAACACAGCUGCCAAUUGAGGUGUUCAGGGUUGCUUUAUAAUUACAGACAGGUGUGCUGGAGCUGGAUGCAACUGAGGUCUGCAGGAUGGUAGCUCUCCAGGAACAGGGUUGGACACCUGUGUUUUAUUCAGUCUUUGGUUCCUGCAGUUGAUGAGUUUGACUGAACACCUCUUCAGGAUCUGCUGCUGUUCUCCAGCGUUACAGACAGAAUCCAGAGACUUGGUGAAGGUUUGAUCAGUAGAUUCCUCAUCCUGUAAACCCUGAUUACUGUCACACACAGCUGUGUCCUCCUGAUCGUCUGUGGGCUUUGACUCAGUAUAACAGAGUAAAGCGAGACUGAUCUCCGAGUCCUGUGUUUGUCUGGAUUUGUCUUCAGAGAGUUGAGUCCAGCAGUGGUGUGGUCUGAUCUCCGCUGAUCCACGCUUAAUCCAGACAUUCACUGGAGCUCCCAUCAUCAGUCACAUCCAUUGAAGAUUCACGACAAACCACUUCCUGACAACACACGCGCACACACACACACCCACCGUGAGAUUAUAAAUGAUAUUUGAUGAUUGAGUGAUGCAAGUAAACCAUACAGACCUCUCGGUUCAUCUCCUUUUGACCUCAGCGUUGUCUCCAGUAACGCCACCUCUUUCUUUAGAUGAGAGAUUUCUGCGAUGAACUCCUCAAUAUCCAGCAUGGACAGAUCAGUUCCUACUGAUUUACAGCACAUGUGAACUCUCAUCGUCAACAUCUUAACACUAAAAUACACUUUGACAAGUAUCUGUGUACACUGAAUAAAACACUAAAAUCAUUGAAAUAAAACUGAUGUAAAGCACGCAGUGGUUGAUGUUUGAGUUUGU